ACAGCUUUAGUUACUAUUUACUUUAGUUACUAGUUACUUUACAUAUUAAGAUUCCUGCACACUAAACACAUGUAGUUUAUCAAAUCUGAUGUUUGAUUAUAAUGUAACCUACCAACAACAUAACAGCCAACAGGUCCAGCUGAGAUGUUCAGACCAUUAAACACACAGAUGUCUGGUCCUUUACACUUUCUAAAAUG